UUUGGCUUGUAAGUCAUCCUCAUAGUGUCUAACAUAAUUUUGACACUCCUCCUUUGAAGCUAAUUUCGUAGGAGGUAUAUGAGGUGGGGAUUGCUUAAGCACAUACAAUAUGUCUUUCACCUUUGAGACAUUCUCAAUAUGGCGAUACCAAGCAAGGAAACGUUGGCCCUUAAGGCCCUUUUUGUCAAGUAUAAUGGUGGGUAUAAUUUUAGGCAUGUCGUUCACUACAUAACAUAACAGAAAUCGUAUUAGAUUGUUUGUUUAAAACUAUUUGAUUGGGUCUUUGAAUCAAAUAGUACCACCCACUAUUUUUGGCAAAUUCCACAUCCCUCAAUAGAAUUCGAGAGUUAUAUUGAACUCUUAGCGGGUUAUGGGAGACUCACCUUUACCAAGCCCACCUCACGAUGAUACGAUAUUGGUUAGCAAAAAUAAUGAUGAGAGAAUAACGCAUUAUUCAUUUACAACUUUUGUAAUUACCCAUCCAUUUGGCCUCUAGAGAAUGUUGCCUCACGAUGAUACGAUAUCGGCUCCAUUGCACUUAGUUAAGUUAUUCCCACCAUGCUUAGUUUGUGAAGGGGUUCAAGAAUAGCCUCACAAUGAUAUGAUAUCGGCUAUCCUCGUUGCCUACACUCACCUCAUCAUAUGUAUAUGGAUUCCUCCUGGAUGUAAGCACAUGCUUUGUACUCCCCCAUGAUAGGGUGAAGCCGGUGCAUGAGUCACAAACGCUUGGAGCCCACCACGGUGGAAGGCCUACGAAGAGAUGUUCAAAAACAUCUCUCGCUUAUCAACUUAAUAUUUGUUUUGAGGGAGUUGUUUUGGGCUACAUCAAAACAUUUUAAUCACAUUAAAAGAACUUGGGCCUAUCACAACUAUUGGUCCAAGUCAAUAUGAAUUAGUAGCAUAUAAUACUCCCACUGUUUCGUUGAAACAAGCGAGACUAUAUGGAACUACUAACGAAUGCAUUGCAUCCUCAUAUGGACUAUAUAGUCAUAUUAGGUUAUAGGAUGAUUAUGAACCGAUUGAUUUGAUCCAACACGAGCCUUGUGUUGGACCUUGGGUUUAAGGUAGAUAGUUGUUGAUUUUAGUUACGCGUUUAAUCUAAUUAAACCGUUAUUUCCUAUUGGGCGUUGGACCCAACUAUUCCAUUUUGCAUACAUAUAAACAAAAAGGAAUACAUGAAAUAAUAAUAAGGGCUUAUGCCCUUUUACAACAUAAAUCAAAUGAUGGACUUAUGUCCAUUUACAACAAAUUGAAUUAAUCAAAUUACAUUCAAAUCUACACUACUAAAACCCAAACAUUCAUAAUGUAUAUCGGCCAAUCACAUAGCUCAAUUUAUAGUGGCCUUUGGUUCAUAAUCACCCUUUUCUUAAUCAAUCAAAUUAACUAAGAAAAACAACUUUAAACAAUUGGUUUUUGGAUCCAUAGAAUUGAUUUAAAUGGAACUAAAUGAAAUGAAAAUCCAAUUCUCAUUUAAAGAGACAAAAACAAUUUUGUUCUCAUCCUUUUGGGCCAAAAGGAAACUAUGACCACAACAUUUGGGCCACAACGUAAAAACGUAAACUUUUUGGGCUAAAAUGCAAAUACACAAAAGUAUCUAAAACUUUAUGUAAUUGCACAAAAGGCCCCAAAAAAUAACCCCACUUGGGGUGGCCGGCCAUUUGGGAAAAAUUUGAAAAAAAAUCUAAAAAAUUUUGCUAGUGGUUUUUGGUGGGUGAGGAAAAGGAUGAAAGUGAUGAUUUGUUUGAAAAAAUAAAGUCUAUGACUAAUUAUGACAAAUAUUAAAAUCAUUUCAUCACAUCUCACCAAUAACCUCAAUCAUCAAAAAUUUAAACCAAAACUUUAUGAAAAAACAUAAAACUUUUGAAUCAAAACUUCAAAACUUUAUGUUCUUGGCAAGAACUUCAAGAACAUUGAAGAACACUCAUGAAAACUCAUAAUAGCUCCAUGAAUGUUUUCACUUACCAAAACUCAAAUUUUCACCAUUCAAAAGAGGGCUAACAUCCUAGGGUACUUAGGGGUUCCAAAAGUCACUUUAAAACCAUUUUAACAAGACAAACAUGAACCCAAAAAAUCACCCUUUGGAUUUGGCCGAAUUUCCCAAAACACGUGGCACCAAAUUUUAGUUCCAAUAUUCAUGCUUAAAUGAAAUACAUCUACAACAUUUGAGAUGCUAAAUUUUCUAGCAAAAUUUAUAAAUUCAAAAGCAAGAACAAAGCUUGUAACAUUUACAACAUUUAAAUCACAAAAUAUGAAAGUCACAAAACCCAAAA
rnacentral:lncRNA from 1 species